AACGAACGCUGGCGGCAGGCCUAACACAUGCAAGUCGAGCGAGGACUUCGGUCCUAGCGGCGGACGGGUGAGUAACGCGUGGGAACGUGCCCUUUGCUUCGGAAUAGCUCUGGGAAACUGGGAGUAAUACCGGAUGAGCCCUUUGGGGGAAAGAUUUAUCGGCGAAGGAUCGGCCCGCGUUGGAUUAGGUAGUUGGUGGGGUAAUGGCCUACCAAGCCGACGAUCCAUAGCUGGUUUGAGAGGAUGAUCAGCCACACUGGGACUGAGACACGGCCCAGACUCCUACGGGAGGCAGCAGUGGGGAGUCUUAGACAAUGGGGGAAACCCUGAUCUAGCCAUGCCGCGUGAGCGAUGAAGGCCUUAGGGUUGUAAAGCUCUUUCAGCUGGGAAGAUAAUGACGGUACCAGCAGAAGAAGCCCCGGCUAACUCCGUG
rnacentral:rRNA from 1 species